UACGGAGGGUGCAAGCGUUGCUCGGAAUUAUUGGGCGUAAAGGGCAAGUAGGUGGUCUCAUUUGUCUGGGGUGAAAGCCUUGAGCUUAACUCAAGAAGUGCCCCGGAAACGGUGAGACUCGAGUACUGGAGAGGGUCGUGGAAUUCCCGGUGUAGCGGUGAAAUGCGUAGAGAUCGGGAGGAACACCUGAGGCGAAGGCGGCGACCUGGACAGUUACUGACACUCAACUGCGAAAGCGUGGGGAGCAAACAGGAUUAGAUACCCUGGUAGUCCACGCUGUAAACGAUGGGUACUAGAUUUGGCGGGUCUUGACCCCUGCUGAGUCGGAGCUAACGCACUAAGUACCCCGCCUGGGAAGUACGGUCGCAAGACUAAA
rnacentral:rRNA from 1 species